rnacentral:rRNA from 1 species
CGAAAGCCUGACGGAGCAAUACCGCGUGAGGGAGGAAGGCUCUUGGGUUGUAAACCUCUUUUCUCAGGGAAGAAAAAAAUGACGGUACCUGAGGAAUAAGCAUCGGCUAACUCCGUGCCAGCAGCCGCGGUAAUACGGAGGAUGCAAGCGUUAUCCGGAAUGAUUGGGCGUAAAGCGUCCGCAGGUGGCUGUGUAAGUCUGCUGUUAAAGAGUGAGGCUCAACCUCAUAAGAGCAGUGGAAACUACAUAGCUAGAGUACGUUCGGGGCAGAGGGAAUUCCUGGUGUAGCGGUGAAAUGCGUAGAGAUCAGGAAGAACACCGGUGGCGAAAGCGCUCUGCUAGGCCGUAACUGACACUGAGGGUCGAAAGCUAGGGGAGCG